rnacentral:rRNA from 1 species
AUGGCACGCACACAAAGCAGGAGGAAAUCGGUACCCCGCGAGGCUGGCGAAGUCGGCACAAGAAGUAGGCGGAGUGGAGGCAGCAGUUGCGGGCUUAGGUGCGGCAAUCGCAAUCAAUAUUCCCGUCUCGGGUUGGCGGAGUUGGUAGAAAGCACGAUUGGCGAUAAGCUGGUACUAGUUUCAUUCUUUCUAUUCCAAAAUCCAAUACCCGGAACUGGUAAAUCAAACAAUGUAGGCACACGUUGGCACAAUUCUGUAAAUAAGAGAUGUCUCAUCCGGUUGAGCUAUCACAAUCAGUCUUUCUCUUCCUUUCUUAGUAGCAGAUCCAACAUGAAUGUAUUAAACCUUAAGCAAUCAGGGUUAAGCUAG